UGUCAGGUCGUAUGCGUGCAUUAUACAGUUAUGAAGCCCCAGAAAUCAAUGAAGCUGGGUCAUGUACCGAUCGGAGCGACGUUUAUAGCUUUGGAGUUGUCAUGUUAGAGCUCCUUACCGGACGGAAACCAUUUGACAGUUCACGACCUCGCAUAGAGCAACAUCUAGUGAGAUGGGCCAGUUCUCAGCUUCAUGACAUUAACACCUUAUCAAGGAUGGUGGAUCCUUCUAUCGGUGGAAAAUAUUCUGAAAAAUCAUUAUCACGGUUUGCUGACAUCAUUAGCCGUUGUAUUNNNNNNNNNNNNNNNNNNNNNNNNNNNNNNNCAAAAGGGGGUGUGAGGAUGGAGGAGAAGAGUCCGUCUCCUACAAGUCGAAUAGGGUUCUAUUUUUUUUUCCAUCUCCUACUCAAACUUUUUCAUCUGGGCCAGUCAAGUGGAUUAGGCCCAGUUUCUUAUUAGCUAGGCUGGGUGUUACACACAAACCUUCAUACGAUGAUGUAGGUAUGCUUAUACAUCACUAGGCAUGGUGAUUAAUUUAGUGAUGUUUGUUGAAGAAGCCAACUUCUCAUAUAAUCUUAAAUAAUUAAAUAUAGAACAAUUAAUAAACAUAUUAGAUUUUAUGCAAUUGUUCCAUAAUUUUUUAGUGCCAUCAGUCUGUCAUAUCAAUGUUAACUACAUCAUCAUGCUCAACAUAUGAAGUCACCCUUUUGCAAAAUUAGAUAAAAAAUAUAUUCUAAUUUCAUCAGGAAAUCCAAGUACACCUCUUUGCUAUAUGUCACUACCCUGUUAAUGGUAUAUGUUGCAAAUGUGUAUCAUCAACCACAAUGCUAGACUGGAAAGAACAUGUAUCCUUGAAAGUAAAGAAAUGUCCUAAUGUUGUUGGUGCAGAUGAUCAAAAGUAUGUUAGAACUGGCGGGGGUGUGAAACUUUCCAAAUUAAUCGGUGAAACUCGCUGAAAUUUGUAGAAAUUAAGUAAUAAAACAUGCCACAUGUCAAGCAAUGUAGAAAAUUGCAUAAAGUUUGGGAUUGCUAUAACUGCCAACAAAAUGGGCAUUUUGUAAAAACUUAAUGAAAUAAACAUCAUAAAAAUAAUUCACACUUUAUUGCAUUGUAUUGUUAGAAACAGAUAUAAUUAUUGGAAAGGAAAAUGCAAUGGAGAUGCAUGACCAUGGAUAGAAUUAAACAUGAUUACAGAUAGUGAACCAAUUGAAAGUAUGGAAAGAUUAAAAAAUGCUUUUAGGUGCUUGCUUCUAUGAUAGCGGGAUUUUGAGGUCUUGGUAAACUAAUGGAUAGCUUUUAUCCUGUAAUUACAUGAGAAAGAAAAACAACUACAAGCAAAAAAGUCAGAGGACCGUACUUUUAAUAAUAAACCGAUCAAACUUCUGUGAAUGUAUAGAAGUUCUUUAAAAAAAUUGAUACUGCCUGACAUAUCAGCUUUUACAAAACUGAAAUUAACAUGUAAUACCUGAUAAUUCAGAAGCAUGGAUUCUGAAUUCAAUUCCAAAACCAUUUAUGCAUUAGUAACUGUGUUGUCAUGUGAAUAGCAGUUGUCAGGUCGUAUGCGUGCAUUAUACAGUUAUGAAGCCCCAGAAAUCAAUGAAGCUGGGUCAUGUACCGAUCGGAGCGACGUUUAUAGCUUUGGAGUUGUCAUGUUAGAGCUCCUUACCGGACGGAAACCAUUUGACAGGUAACAAAUAUGUGCUUUUGCCCUAGGAGAGCGAGACUUCGAUUGGCCAUUGACUUUGUUAUUUUUCUUUAGAAAAUUCAUGAGGAUUUGUAAACUUAUCUGUUUUCUUCCCUAAAUUGUUGCAGUUCACGACCUCGCAUAGAGCAACAUCUAGUGAGAUGGGCCAGUUCUCAGCUUCAUGACAUUAACACCUUAUCAAGGAUGGUGGAUCCUUCUAUCGGUGGAAAAUAUUCUGAAAAAUCAUUAUCACGGUUUGCUGACAUCAUUAGCCGUUGUAUUCAGGUAAAGUAUUGCUUUUUCUUGCUUGGACACCCACCUCACAAGCAUGGAUGUAGUUGCUAGGGCUCAACUAUGGUGCAAACCUACUUUCUGGAUUACUGUUCUCAAGCAUGCUUUGAACUUGAUCUGCUUUCAUCUAUAAAAAUUGCGAAGCAAGCUAGUCUUUUUUGGGAAGAAAAAAGGAUUCUUCAUUUCUUAGAAAAUUAAUUCAG
rnacentral:lncRNA from 1 species